UACGUAGGGGGCAAGCGUUGUCCGGAUUUAUUGGGCGUAAAGAGCGUGUAGGCGGCCAGAUAGGUCGGUUGUGAAAACUGGAGGCUUAACCUCCAGACGUCGACCGAAACCAUCUGGCUAGAGUGCGGUAGAGGAUGGCGGAAUUCCCGGUGUAGCAGUGAAAUGCGUAGAGAUCGGGAGGAACAUCUGUGGCGAAGGCGGCCAUCUGGACCAGCACUGACACUGAGGCACGAAAGCGUGGGGAGCAGACAGG
rnacentral:rRNA from 1 species